rnacentral:piRNA from 1 species
UGCUGCUCUCAUCCCCUGCCAGGA